UACGUAGGGCGCGAGCGUUGUCCGGAUUUAUUGGGCGUAAAGAGCUCGUGAGCGGCUUGUUGCGUCGAGCUGUGGAAAAACCCCGCAGCUUCAACUGUGGGCUUGCAGCUGAUACGGGCAGGCUUGAGUUCGGAUUAGGGGGAGACUGGGAAUUCCUGGAUGUGAGCGGUGAAAUGCGCAGAUAUCAGGAGGGAACACCGGUGGGCGAAGGCGGGUCUCUGG
rnacentral:rRNA from 1 species